GACGAACGCUGGCGGCGUGCCUAACACAUGCAAGUCGAACGGAAAGGCCAUGCUCUUGUGGCGUGCUCGAGUGGCGAACAGGUGUGUAACACGUGAGUAAACCGCCCUUGACUUUGGGAUAACUUCAGGGAACUGGGGCUAAUACCGCAUAGGAGCUAUUGAUGCAUGGUGUGGGUUGGAAAGUUUCGGCGGUUGGGGAUGGUCUCGCGGCUUACCAGCUUGUUGGUGGGGUAGUGGCUUACCAAGGCUUAGACGGGUAGCCGGCCUGAGAGGGUGAACGGGCACAAUGGGACUGAGAUACGGCCCAGACGCGUACGGGAGGCAGCAGUGGGGAAUAUUGCACAAUGGGCCGAAGCCUGUUACAACAACGCCGCGUGCGGGAAGACGGCCUACGGGUUGUAAACCGCUUUCGCAUGUGACGAAGCGUGAGUGACGGUAAUGGGUAAAGAAGCACCGGCUAACUACGUG
rnacentral:rRNA from 1 species